AUUGAACGCUGGCGGCAGGCCUAACACAUGCAAGUCGAACGAGUGGCGGACGGGUGAGUAAUGUAUGGGAAACUGCCCACUGGAGGGGGAUAACUACUGGAAACAGUAGCUAAUACCGCAUACCCUCGGAUGUGCCCAGAUGGGAUUAGGUAGUAGGUGGGGGAACGGCUCACCUAGGCGACGAUCCCUAGCUGGUCUGAGAGGGUGACCAGCCACACUGGAACUGAGACACGGUCCAGACUCCUACGGGAGGCAGCAGUGGGGAAUAUUGCACAAUGGGCGAAAGCCUGAUGCAGCCAUGCCGCGUGUAUGAAGAAGGCCUUCGGGUUGUAAAGUACUUUCAGCGAGGAGGCGGUACUCGCAGAAGAAGCAUCGGCUAACUCCGUGCCAGCCGCCGCGGUAAUAC
rnacentral:rRNA from 1 species